AAAAACUGAAACUAACUUUCCCAAUUUGGAGGUAACCUCACUUGCAGAACAACAAAGGAAGAAUUGCAAGGGUAGGCUGGAUCAGACUGAUCACCUGAACCACCCUCUCCAUGAAUGUGAAUCUUUUGUUCAGGCUGAAGCUGCGGAGCGCCCGAGUGGAACCGGAGAAAGGGGACUCGUUCCUACCACUACUGAGGCCAGCCCAUUAAACCUCAAUUAAAGAAUGAACAGAUAUCUGGGUAUUUGGCUUCUCGGAAUCCUAGGACUGUAAGUAUAAUGUAGCAAAUAAGAGUUACAUCUUUUCUAGUUCCAAUUUAACCUUUAGUUGUAAUUUUAAUUG